GCUGCGUUUGAUUAGGGUUGGAGCAAAACUGCAGAGCUGCGGCCCUCUAAGAAUUGACUUUGACACUUAUGUAGUAAGGUGUACCUAAUAAAGUGGCCGGUGUGUGUACAUGUAUAAGAAAAAAAACCUAUUUAUAUUAAUUAUUGCGUUAUGACAAUUUACUGACAGGUUCCAGUUAUUUCAGCAGAAAUCUGUGAUUAGGAGUUUGACUCUUUUGCAAGUUUUUGAGCAUGAGAAUUAAGCACACUGAUGAACGUCAGUGCACAGUUGACCAUAUAAAAUGGACCUUAUUUGCCAACCAAAUUUGCAAAUGUGAUGCACCUUAAGAACUCACAUAAAAGACUAAUCCUGCAGCUAAAAGUGCACAUUUUCAUAGUUUUCUUUUCUCUUUAUCUGUUUAGGGUACCCCUGAAGAUGACCACUUCCAGUUAUCUUUUCUCCAUUGCUAAACUGGAUUGCUCAGGACGGGUAUUUUAUACCCACACACCAAAGAAACUUUUUUAAGUUUGGGGAGAUGCAUGGGGACUGCGGACCCUCUCGUAUUGCAAAAAAAGGGAAGAGAGCCUUGGAUCUACCAGUUCAAGCAAACAUUUCAUCUGACAGCCUUGGAGAUCCCGCUUUGGAGAUGGUGCUUUAACAACUCAGCCAGCUAUCAUUUCUCCACUGCCAUACAAAUUGUGCAGCAAGAUGGUUCGGCCCUCAUACCAGGAGGAAAAACAAGAAUUUGUUGAUUUGCGACUUCUAGGUGCAUUAUUUAUGACAAUAAAUGUUGGACAUUAUUUAAUUCAUGUGUGUAUAGUUGUAUUUCGUUCAGUACUUAAAAGAGGAGGAGCAACAGAGACAGAACCCUCUUGUCCUGCUGCUUGGGGAUGAACUAAACUGCUCUCAGACGAUUGUUAUUGUGGUAGGAGUGCCACUAAAUUCAUGGAUUUAAAUAAAGC